CUAGAAGCUUGAAGAAACACAGUCCAUCAAGCACCUUGGAAGUCAGGUGUAAAGCACCCAAAAGGACUCAAGUGGAAUUCAAAGCUAGUAAUGCAAGAGCACACCAAGCUUAAAUGCACCUGGGUGC